CCCCUGCUGAGUAUUUAUCUUGUGCCAAAGACUAGAGAUGAGAAUACAGACGGAAGUAAAGCAGAGUUCUUGCCUUCAAGGGCUUUCAGUCUGAGAGGGGGAGACCAGUGGGUAAGUAAACAGUGAGGGGCCCUGAAACACACGUGCUGGGCACAGCAGGAGCACAGGCCUCGAGGUGGGCAGCACCAGAAGGCAAAGCAGCCUGGGCUUCAUGGGGAGGUGGCACACGAAAUGCCUCUUGAGAGACAGGUUAGGUAUUCAGGGAGAAGGAGCAGAGAAAGGGCGACCCCCAAGUGCCAGGCCAUUCUGCAGCCACUGCAAAUUUUCCUCCAGCCAAACAUGAAAGUAAGAGGGUUUUUAAAUUUGCGAAGCAUUCACAGUGGAUCGAGCUGUAUAAUUACCUGGCAGCCUGCCGCACAAACCUGUGUGCGCACGCUUUUCAGUCUGUUGUCGGAGACUGUCUGCCAGCGGGUGUGUACUGUGUGUCCAUUGUGUACAGACGCUGUAAUAGGCAUAUGGGGAAGAAAGGAAAGGGGAAAGCAGGCAGAAACUCAAAUAUUGUGAAAAACCAAGUGUUUUGUGUGCGUGCUGGUUACAGUUGUGGCUGCAUCUGAGUCACCGUGUGCGCUGACAAUGAAGCUAUUGUUCCGGCCUGGCUGCAGGCCCGGAGCUGGUGUGGGCUGCCUGCCCUUUGUGCACUCCAUGUGGGUCUCCGCGCUCAUUUGCAUAAAGCCUUUCAAUUGGGAUCACAUCUUCUAUAUGGGUGUCCUUUAUUACCUUAUUGGAGAAUUAGUGCCUCAGAAAACUCUGCUGGUCUAGAAAAGCAGCAAGACAGAGAAGUAGGCCUGACCCACCAGCCUGUGGGGGCCAGUUGCCAGUCUCCAUAGUUCCCACUUCUGUGGUGUCCACAAAAGGCUGAGAAUUCCUCGCAGCCCUGUUGGGGAACAUGCGUGUAAAGGAAGCAAGGCCCCAAGCAAAACGGCUGGAAUGCUGAAUGAACUUCAUCAUGAACAAAUGAUAAGUUGCGGCGUGCUUGCUGCCCUGUCGUCUGUCACUGCUGCUGUCAGUGGCCUCCUGAGAUUGCUCCACAACACAGAAGAGGACUUCUUGUGUCACUGAAUGAGCUGAUGAUCGUCAUCGGCAUUCUUUUUGCCUACAUUUCAAAUUACGCCUUUGCCAAUGUUCUCCAGGGCUGGAAGUACAUGUUCAGCCUUGUUAUUCCCUUGGGAGUUUUGCAAGCGAUUGCUAUGUACUUUCUUCCUCCAAGUCCCCGGUUUCUAGUAAUGAAAGGACACGAGGAAGCUGCUAGCAAGGUUCUCAGAAGGUUGAGAGCCAUGUCAGAAACAACAGAAGAACUCACUCUGAUAAAAUCUUCCCUGAAAGAUGAGUAUCAGUAUAGUUUUUGGGAUCUGUUUCGUUCCAAGGACAACAUGAGGACUCGAGUCAUGAUAGGUUUAACACUGGUGUUUUUUGUACAAAUC